UUCAUCAGUGGGCGUUAAGAUAAACAAGUUAUUGUACAAUUCUACAAUGAAAUACUCUGAAUCUGUGAAGAGACUGAAGGUGUUCAGGGUAGAUAUAAAAAAAUCUUCAAGAUACUAUAGGGGAAAAUAAGAUUUAAAAUAGUCACACAGCUAUUUGUAUCAAAGAGAAAAACACAUAUAUAAGGAAGAUAUAAGUGUAAUGACGUAUUUAUUUGCUUGCACAUGCACAGGAUAAUAUGGAAUGGGCACAUAGACAUCUGGAAAUACUAGCUGCCUCUGGGAGAACUAGGUGCCUGGAAAGGAAGGAAACUUCACUGACACACUUAGGAAAUUUUUAUAAUGACUGCAACCACAUAUUGACUCUAAAUGGAACCAGUGGAAGAACUGACCAGCUUAACCCAGCAUAAUUGCUGAAACAAAAGAAUCAUGCACAAGUAAAAUGGGUUUUAAGUUACUAAAUUUUGGGUAGAUUGUUAUGUAGCAAUCCGUGACCAAUAUGCCAGUCUUUUCUGAUGGCUAGUUGUAUUAAUUCAUAAUACAAAAAGAAAAGUGAAAGCUAAUGCCUUAAAAUAAAUAUUUCAGAAAACUUUCUCAAU